CUCACCUCUUCUUCAACUCUUCUGGUGGACACCCCUGGGAAAGGGAACCCGGAAAGAGAAUAAGGGAGAAGCUAAAGAAGAGAGAAAGCAGACAAAAUGUAGAGGACAGGCAUGGACAAGGAGGUAACAGGAUGGGAGCGAGCCAGAGAAAGACUCAGUAAGACAGGUAAAUAAUUUCUGGCAGAUAGCAUGUGGGAGUGAAAAGAACGUAGCCAUGGUCCAGAUGACAGCGAUGUAGAUGACACCCUUUGUGAUUGAGAUCCGGGGUUUCAAGGGGUGCAUGAUGACCUGGAAAAC
rnacentral:lncRNA from 1 species